rnacentral:rRNA from 1 species
CGCUGGCGGCGUGCCUAAUACAUGCAAGUCGAACGGUCUUUUCUAUGGAAGCUUGCUUCCACUGAGAAGAUAGUGGCGAACGGGUGAGUAACACGUGGGUAACCUGCCCAUAAGAGGGGGGAUAACAUCCGGAAACGGGUGCUAAUACCGCAUAGUUUUCUUGAUCGCAUGAUCGGGAAAGGAAAGACGGCCUUUGUGCUGUCGCUUAUGGAUGGACCCGCGGCGUAUUAGUUAGUUGGUGAGGUAACGGCUCACCAAGACGAUGAUACGUAGCCGACCUGAGAGGGUGAUCGGCCACAUUGGGACUGAGACACGGCCCAAACUCCUACGGGAGGCAGCAGUAGGGAAUCUUCCGCAAUGGACGAAAGUCUGACGGAGCAACGCCGCGUGAGUGAAGAAGGUUUUUCCGGAUCGUAAAACUCUGUUGUCAGAGAAGAACAAGUUGGAGAGUAACUGCUCCAGCCUUGACGGUAUCUGACCAGAAAGCCACGGCUAACUACGUGCCAGCAGCGGC